UUUGGUUAAGUUAGAAAGGGCGCACGGUGGAUGCCUUGACACUAGGAGUCGAUGAAGGACGGGACUAACGCCGAUAUGCUUCGGGGAGCUGUAAGUAAGCUUUGAUCCGAAGAUUUCCGAAUGGGGAAACCCACCAUACGUAAUGGUAUGGUAUCCUUAUCUGAAUACAUAGGGUAAGGAAGACAGACCCAGGGAACUGAAACAUCUAAGUACCUGGAGGAAGAGAAAGCAAAUGCGAUUUCCUGAGUAGCGGCGAGCGAAACGGAACAUAGCCCAAACCAAGAGGCUUGCCUCUUGGGGUUUGUAGGACAUUCUAUACGGAGUUACAAAGGAACGAGGUAGACGAAGCGACCUGGAAAGGUCCGUCGUAGAGGGUAACAACCCCGUAGUCGAAACUUCGUUCUCUCUUGAAUGUAUCCUGAGUACGGCGGAACACGUGAAAUUCCGUCGGAAUCUGGGAGGACCAUCUCCCAAGGCUAAAUACUCCCUAGUGAUCGAUAGUGAACCAGUACCGUGAGGGAAAGGUGAAAAGCACCCCGGAAGGGGAGUGAAAGAGAUCCUGAAACCGUGUGCCUACAAAUAGUCAGAGCCCGUUAACGGGUGAUGG
rnacentral:rRNA from 1 species